GGCAUUCAAAGAUCAGUUUCCUCGAUCGUGGGUAGAAGAAUAACCACAAACCUUUUCACAAAUGAACAGUACAAAUGAUUUUGUAUCAAAUAAAACCAGCACCAUCAACUUUAAACACAUUCAAUGAACCUAAUUUCCUUCCUUACGUUUUGUGCAUUUUUACAAUACUAAAUCAUUGCUACUAUCUUAAUUACAAAACAAAUCAUCAUCAGACUGUUGAAACCAAAAAAAAAAAAAAGGUUUUAAUUUUCAUCGAUUUCGGAACAAGCUGAAAUCCCAACGGCGCAUCAAACCAUCCAUAAUGUGGCUUGCUGGGUUCCGUUCUACUGUCAAUGUGGCUUUCGUGUUACUUGACAUGUCAGUAUCUGUUGGGUUCUGGACACUCCCUGAAGUAUCACUACGAGUAGAGGUGCCUGUGCUACCAGAUUCUGUCAUGGAUGGUGGGGUGUCAAAUGCUGGUCCGCUGGAUGACACACUAGGAUCAGGUGAUGGGUGUUCUGUUGCUGAAUUUUCAACACUGGUUGCUGGAGAGGAAGCAGGCUCUAUCUUUGAAGGUUCAUGUUGCUCUACUGUCUUCAAGGAACGUUCUGCAAUGGAAGAUGCAUCUACAUAAUGUUUUUGUGAAGAUUCCAUGGAAGUGGGGUUGACACUAGCCUGUUCUUGUUCAGCAUUAGGAUAUCUCAUCUCCAAGUCCUUUAGUGAUGCAAUCACUGCUUCCAUAAACAUCCUUUCUUCCUCCUCUACAUUGCAUGGAAAACCAGCCAAGUCAUCCAGUUGAUACUCCACAUAUUGAUCAUCAUCCAUCAUUGUUGGAACAUGUGGACCAUAGGGAUGACCAUUGGAUAAUUCAAAGCUUAUCAUUUUGGAUGAUGAUGGCAAAUGAUCGUCAUCAAUUUCUCCAC
rnacentral:misc_RNA from 1 species